CUCUGUACCAAAGAUUGGCCAAUCUAAUCCUAUAAUUUAACAAAAAAAGUUUCAAGAAUAUAUUAAUGUAACCUUUUUUUCCUAAGCAAAUUAAUAGAUAAAUAUCCAAGCAGUGUGACAUUACUAAUAUUUUAGAAUCUAAGAGAUGAUAAAGAAUACUCAACAGAUUUCUCCAACAGAAAAACAGGGUAGAUAUAAUUGCAACUGUAUUUCAAUAUAAGAAGUUUAGAUUGUUGCAGUUUGAGACAAAAAUAAAUAAAAUCCUAAAUGCACAUAUCUCAGAUAUGUUAACUGAAAAGGAAAUUACUCACACAGUGCAUUAAAGUUAUGAUUGUUUUAGCCAUGAAUUGUUAAGUGAGUCAUACUGGCUGGUUUCACUAUAAAACAUAAUUUACAAACCACAAUGAUUAUGUUAACACAUUACACUAAACCUUAACCAAGCAAACAGGCACUAAUUAAAAAAUUAGUGGCAAUAUUAUGCAUAACAACAGAAAUGUGUUUAUGUAGUUUAAUAAAACCUUUUCCUUCCUCCAUCUAUUUGGCUAAAGAAUUCACUAUGGCACAGGGAAGGAAGGAAGGAAUUUUUUGUUUUUUGUUUAUUUAAUCCUUGUUAUCUUUCAUUUAUGCUUACUAUAUAGACAAUAUAUAAAAACAAGACAUGAAUGACAGAAUUCAAUGACAUGGUUAUGAAUAAUGCUUCAUUUCUUGCACAGGAGAAUAUUUUGCCUUCUCCGGAAGGAGAUAACAUUAAUCAUUAACUCCCUGACAAAAUAUUUGACUGGUUAGAAGGUACAUAUGUAAUUUGAUUCUGUUCUCAUACUACAUGUCAUCAUCUCAAACUCUCCAAGCAUGCCAAAGGUUUUGAAGUUAGUACUGACUUAGGUCGUUUCUUCAAAAUCAGCUGGGAAGGAGAACUUUUAUAUUUCACCUCCAAAACCCUAGGUAGUCUCCCCUUUGUGCAAGACAAAAGAGAUUUAGGAUUUUCAGGCAACAGAAGGGGAGAAAAAAGCUCUUUCACCAUGACUGCCAAAGUCAAAUGAUAUUCCAGUUUUAAGCUGGAAAAAGAUCCAUUAGAUCUUCGCCGUUAGAAAUGUGAUGUCCCAAAUUAUCAGCCUUCUCAGCCAACUAAAUGUGAUACAGGAUUUCUGUGCUGUUACUAGGUGCAGAGAAAAUUGCAUAUUGCUAAGUGAUGAUUGACUCCUACUGAUUUUAUUCUAAAAAAUAAGUGUGCCAUAAUUAGGAGAUAUUAUACGCAGAAGAAAAUGGUUUAAUAUGCAAAUCUGGCAACCCCUAAGGGAUGGCAGAGCUCCACCCCUACCUAGUGAGUGCUCUUUAGAAGCAGGGGAUAAAGUUGGCAAGCAUUAAAAAUAUUCCAACUUCAAAUAAAUAAGUAUCUGAUAUUGUCAAGAUUGACCUGUUCUUCUAAAACACAAACAUUGCCUGAAAACCUCCAAUAGGCACCACACCCUGAAACACUCCCCAAGUUGGAGUUUAGUCAAGAUUAUGCAACAACUGAGAGCAUAAUUGUCUUUGAUAGUAUUCAUUUGUUGCUAAUGUUACAGGAGAUUUUAGUGAAUGUGCAACACCUUCGUUUAAUGAUACACAGCUUGCUUUCUGGUAUGCACUAUAGGAAGGGCUGAGUGAGUAAUCCUUUGAACUGAGAAAUGUAACAUUCCUUUUUAGCUACAGAUAGAGAGAAAUGGGUCAUGGUUUAUUAAUUCAACAUAUCUGAUUCACCUACAAUAGACUUCCAUUUGAGUAAUUCUUGGUAUAAUGACAAUUAUAAAUUACCUCUUUGCUUCAAACUGGUUAGCUACACUGUAUAAGUUGGUAUAUAUAGGUCACAACUAUUUCCUGCACAUGAUUGCAACCUAAUUCAGAUAUGCUAAACUAGGUUUUGCGUAACUUUAGUUUUGCUAAGCUACAAAUGAAGGAUUCAUACAUUUCACUGAGCCAUAAAUCAUGGCUUGCAGUCUACCAUGAUUAGUUUCACAUUAUGCCAAAGCCAAACUACGCUACAACUCGGUAUGAUUUGUGAAUCCAGUCUUUUUAGUUUUCCAAAGCACAGAUACAUCUUUUUCCUGGUCUUGCUAUAAAAGCCUUCUAAUCAGUAGAAAGGAUGAACCUUGGACCUUACGCUCCGUCAAGUAGACAAAGUCUAAAUCACAUGCUCUGCUGCUGAGCUGUAGGUCUCAAAUAGCCUUGCUUAACAGGCACGUCUAGUUUUGUGCACUGCCAAAAUAUGCAGAACUGAACCAAGGGCUUUGGUGUGCAGCAGCUGAUUUGACUGACACUCAUCUGGGAACCAGUUCUUCUGGAACACCAGACUGCAGAGGUUCCUAGAACAAGAUUCAAUUUGUGAGUGAGAAUCUCCACACAGCUUAAAAAAAAAAAGGCUGUGAUUUAUCAGAUACAGAUGCAGGCAUUUCCCAUCCGAACAUAUCUCAGUCCCCGUCCUGUUUUCAAGAUUCUCCAUCUCCAGUUUUCCAAUUUUUUGUGAAAGUGCUUUUUGUACCACUUGGACUCCAUGCCUUAUUCUCUGCCCUUUGUCUACAUACUGCUCUUAUUUGGCUACAAUCUUAAAACAACCCAGAGCAUUAUAAGUUUGUAUUAAAGCAACAACUAUCUGACAUAUUAACGUGUACAAAGAAACAGAAGUAAAGUGUGUAGUGUUUCCUGAUAAGAAUGUUGCCCAUGAUUAUUUGCAUUGUAUUCAUAUAUUUAAAUGUACUGUAUAUUUCUAACGGUAAAUACUGAACUGUCUUCCACCUUUGAUAUCAGCAAAUCGGAAAAUUGCCUAAUGCUUCAGCCCACAUUUCCAAUCAUCCAUAACUUCCAAUACUUGAAUGAUAAAGUGGCUGAUUUGUUCUACCUGGUAAUAAAUUGUGUAAAAUGAGCUUAUGUUAAAAAUGCUAUUGCGGGUAAAAUGGUCUAGGCAUGCUUUGCAAUUUGAAUUAUAUUGGCAGAAUCCAGGCCAUUACUAAGUUACAGGCUGUUGAAGGGUUGAAUAUUAUAUUGCAUUAAUAUUUAGUUGAAGAACUAAGGACUUUUAGAAUAAAGUCAAGCAAGCCUCAAGAGUUUGCAGGUUAAAAUACUCAUUCAGAUUUGUUUUCACCCCUGAAAUUCCUUUAGCAAGAUUCUACUAGUAUUGCCACAUUAUCUCACAGCUAGUUUUCUUUUAUUGUUACUCGACUGCAGCAGAAAAGCAAAACUCCCUCCCCCCAAAAAACAACAACAAAAAAGGACACAUUUUCUUUCAUGUUUUCUGUAAUUUGUACUGAUGUCAGUGAUGCUUCACUGAAUCCUGCAUGAGAUAUACAAUGAAACACAGAUCACAGUAUUCGGCUUGAAUGGCACCAGGCAGGAUGCCAGCACCGCAUUCAUCUCCACAGAAAUUACCUCAAAUGUUAAUGCAUGAGAAUGUGCAGUUAAUUUUCACAGCAUCCCCUUCUGUUAAUGGAGAAAAAGUACUUCUCCAAGUGACUGCACUGAACGAGGCCUUUAGGAAACUUCCCUUUAGAGAAGCCUUCAGGAGACGCCAUUGAAUAUGGUCCUCUUGAGAGAUCCAUGGGGACCCAGGAAGCGUGUCUUCUCGGGCAUGGCUCCUAGUGUCUGGGAAUAAACUUCCGUGCAGCUCCUGUCGACAUUCUGGAAGGCUUGAAGACCUGGCUGGUACCAAGCCUUGGGCUGAGAUGGAGGGCUGGUUUUUUUUUUAAUUAUUGUUAAUUAUUGUUAAAAUAAUUAUUGUGAGCAGUCCAGAGUGGGUUUAAAGUUGGGUGGUGCCUAAACUGAACUGAACUGAAUAUAUACCCACCCCACACUCUGGUAAUGGUAUUGAAUUCCAUCGGGAAACCCCAACCAAUUCCUUUUCCUGUUUAAUAGGCUGUGAUUUUGAGUUAUCUUCUCUGAGAUCAAAAUUUAUCUCAUACUUAAAACAGAAUAGCUAUGUAUUCUUCUGGCCUCUGAUUUCUUUUUUUUUUAAUUCAAAAAAAGGGACCCAGAAAUACUUCAAAUCAAGCGACCAGUCAAGCACCUCUGUAAUGUCUUCAAGAAAACUCCUGUUCUCUCAGCGCUGGAACAAAACACAGUAUCACUUAUUUCAUUAUAGCCUUUUGACAAGAGUUGCUGCAAAAUCACAAACUGCGUACUAGGGAGUACUAUACAGAAGGUAAUUCAGAAGUAGCUGUGCAUGUUUUUGCACAGAUUGCUUACCUGAAAUUCUGUAAAUAUUCUUGAAGUUUGUUUAGAUUACAGUGUUUCUCAACCUUGGCAACUUUACGAAGUGUGGACUUCAACUCCCAGAAUUCUCCAGCUAGCGUUGCUGGAGGAUUUUGGGAGUUGAAGUCCACACAUCGUAAAGUUGCCAAGUUGAGAAACACUGGUUUAGAAGGAACAGUACAUAUUUACAUGGGAUGGAAACUGGACUUAGAAAAUUGUUAUGGAUAUAUUAUCAGUCUUUAUUUAAAUAUAAUAAACAUUCUAUUUAACAGGGUAAUAGAGGAGAAACAUCUAUAUACUAUGAAAAUUAUUGUGCCUGUUUGUAUCUUUCAACUGUGUGAAACACUGCAUCAUGGGGCAACAAUAUUUGAACCAAGGUACCUCAAAUGGGCUAACUUACAGAAAAUGCAUCCAAAAUCUGGGACCAGGAUCACUCCUGUGGAAUUGAAAUUUGGCAAAGUUACGGCUGCCUCAGUGCUACCGUGCCUUCCGACUACACUUCCCAGAAACCUGUAGAUUGUGUUGGUACAAGGGAAGAUGUAGGGGUGUAUUCCAAUCUGAUGGUGGCAAUGCUGACAGGCAACCAACACCUGGUUGCUUUCGAAUCAAGCUGAAAUUUGAAUUCUCUUAACAGCCGUGAGCAGCAAAGGAAAGACAAGGGAUUGACUUGGUGUGCCUGCUGGUGAGGUAGGCCUGGCUGGGGGACACUGGUGAUUGAAGGGUAAAUGCUCUUCCUCCCUAGGAGGGGGAUCUUGAGGACACAUCAGGAUGGGGAGUGGGGGUGCAGUUUUCUUCACAAUCCUUGGCUCACUUUCUUCCCCCCUCCCUCCCAGCAAAGUGGCAGGGAGUUCCAUCGGACAGUCAAGGCGGAGGAAGAGCUAUUUUCCACACAAGCAACAUCAACAGAGAAGUCAGCAGGAAGUCAGAGGUCAGUCCUGUUCACAUUGCAUUGUUUGGCUGCCCGUGAACACUCCGUUUCUCUGCUUGGGUAUGGUAAACAACAAUGAGUAUUAAUAGCCAUUGAUGGCUUGGUCACCUAUUCCACAAAAGCUGUGAAUGCUCCAACACUGGAAGUUUUUAAGAAGAGACUGGACAGCCAUUUGUCUCUGUGAUGGUGAACUUUUUAGAGACUGAGUGCCCAAACUGCAACCCCAAACUCACUUAUGCAUCGUCGAGUGUCAGCACCAGUUGACAGUUUCUUCAAAGGGUCGACCAUGAUUCCAGAUUUCCUUUCCCUUCCUACUGCAGGGUUAAAAUCCAGUAACAUACAGAUGAAGUAAUUUUGUGUCAGCAUAAAUAUUUUAUGCUUGUCUGC